rnacentral:rRNA from 1 species
CCUACGGGAGACUGCAGUGGGGGAUAUUGCACAAUGGGGGGAACCCUGAUGCAGCGACGCCGCGUGGGUGAAGAAGCGCCUCGGCGCGUAAAGCCCUGUCAGCAGGGAAGAAAAUGACGGUACUUGAAGAAUAAGCCCCGGCGAACUACGUGCCAGCAGCCGCGGUAAUACGUAGGGGGCAAGCGUUAUCCGGAUUUACUGGGGGAAAGGGGGGCGCAGACGGCGAGGCAAGCCAGGGGUGAAAGCCCGGGGCCCAACCCCGGGACUGCUCUUGGAACUGCGUGGCUGGGGUGCAGGAGGGGCAGGCGGAAUUCCUGGUGUAGCAGUGAAAUGCGUAGAUAUCAGGAGGAACACCGGUGGCGAAGGCGGCCGGCUGGACUGAAACUGACGUUGAGGCCCGAAAGCGUGGGGAGCAAACAGGAUUAGAUACCCUGUAGUC